rnacentral:rRNA from 1 species
AGUGAACGCUGGCGGUGGGCCUAACACAUGCAAGUCGAACGGCAGCACAGUAAGAGCUUGCUCUUACGGGUGGCGAGUGGCGGACGGGUGAGGAAUACAUCGGAAUCUACUUUUUCGUGGGGGAUAACGUAGGGAAACUUACGCUAAUACCGCAUACGACCUACGGGUGAAAGCAGGGGAUCUUCGGACCUUGCGCGAUUGAAUGAGCCGAUGUCGGAUUAGCUAGUUGGCGGGGUAAAGGCCCACCAAGGCGAGGAUCCGUAGCUGGUCUGAGAGGGUGGGCGGAGCGAUUGGGACUGGGACACGGCCCACACGACUACGGGAGGCAGCAGUAGGGAAGCGUCGGAAAUGGACGAAAGUCUGACCGAGCACUGCCGCGUGAGAGAAGAAGGGUUUCGUAUCGCAAAACUCUGUUGGUAGAGAAGAACGGUGGUGAGAGUGGAAAGCGCAUCAAGUGACGGUAACUACACAGAAAGGGACGGCUAACUACGUG